GAUGAACGCUAGCGAGAGGCUUAACACAUGCAAGUCGAGGGGUAACAGGGUGCUUGCACCGCUGACGACCGGCGCACGGGUGCGUAACGCGUAUGCAACCUACCUUAUACUGGAGGAUAGCCCAGAGAAAUUUGGAUUAAUACUCCAUAGUAUUAUUGAUUGGCAUCAAUUGAUAAUUAAAGUUCCGGCGGUAUAAGAUGGGCAUGCGUGAUAUUAGUUAGUUGGUGAGGUAAUGGCUCACCAAGACGUCGAUAUCUAGGGGUUCUGAGAGGAAGAUCCCCCACACUGGUACUGAGACACGGACCAGACUCCUACGGGAGGCAGCAGUGAGGAAUAUUGGUCAAUGGGCGCAAGCCUGAACCAGCCAUCUCGCGUGCAGGAGGACUGCCCUAUGGGUUGUAAACUGCUUUUUAUAUAGGAAGAACUUAUUCUACGUGUAGAAUAUUGACGGUACUAUAAGAAUAAGGAUCGGCUAACUCCGUGCCAG
rnacentral:rRNA from 1 species